rnacentral:rRNA from 1 species
CCGUGCCUACGGGAGGCAGCAGUAGGGAAUCUUCGGCAAUGGGGGCAACCCUGACCGAGCAACGCCGCGUGAGUGAAGAAGGUUUUCGGAUCGUAAAGCUCUGUUGUAAGUCAAGAACGGGUGUGAGAGUGGAAAGUUCACACUGUGACGGUAGCCUACCAGAAAGGGACGGCUAACUACGUGCCAGCAGCCGCGGUAAUACGUAGGUCCCGAGCGUUGUCCGGAUUUAUUGGGCGUAAAGCGAGCACAGGCGGUUU